rnacentral:rRNA from 1 species
AGUGAACGCUGGCGGUAGGCCUAACACAUGCAAGUCGAACGGCAGCACAGUAAGAGCUUGCUCUUACGGGUGGCGAGUGGCGGACGGGUGAGGAAUACAUCGGAAUCUACUUUUUCGUGGGGGAUAACGUAGGGAAACUUACGCUAAUACCGCAUACGACCUACGGGUGAAAGCAGGGGAUCUUCGGACCUUGCGCGAUUGAAUGAGCCGAUGUCGGAUUAGCUAGUUGGCGGGGUAAUGGCCCACCAAGGCGACGAUCCGUAGCUGGUCUGAGAGGAUGAUCAGCCACACUGGAACUGAGACACGGUCCAGACUCCUACGGGAGGCAGCAGUGGGGAAUAUUGGACAAUGGGCGUAAGCCUGAUCCAGCCAUACCGCGUGUGUGAAGAAGGCCUUCGGGUUGUAAAGCCCUUUUGUUGGGAAAGAAAAGCAGCAGGUUAAUACCCCGCUGUUCUGACGGUACCCAAAGAAUAAGCACCGGCUAACUUCGUG